rnacentral:lncRNA from 1 species
UCAAUUUGUUUGCAAAGAGCUUUCAUCUUUCGUUCCAUGGUGAACUGGAACUUUGCAUAAUCCCAUUUGUCAACAUCGUCUUUGAUGGGUUGGGAUGAUUCACUAGUAGAAUUGGAGCCAUGUCCAGUACUCCAACUGAUCAUGUUAACCUCUUCCUCUUUGUGUUGUGGGAGAGGGUUGUCUUGUACGUGAGGUUGAUCUGGCUUGGUGACUACAAUCUCACCAUUGUCUAUUAGAUCUUGAAUUUUGUGCUUCAAGGCCCAACAAUCUUGAGUAUCAUGUCCGGGUGCCCCAGCAUGAUAUGCACAUUUCCGGUUAGCAUUGAAACCCCUACCAUUAGGGUUGGCUGGCGGAAGAAGAUGUGUAAUUUUCUUCUGAGUAAUCAAAAGAGCAAGAAUAUUCUCUAGCGAAUCC